UUGUUAGUGAAGGAGAAAAAAUACAAAAGAAUUUCACUAUAAUCAUCCAGAAAAAGCAUAGAAUUACUAAGGCAAACAGAUGCAGAUUUCUUCUUAAAAGAAAAGAUUCUGAAACCAAAAAAGAAAAAGGGGGGAAAAAAAGAAAGAAAAACAGUGUAUUGGAUCUUUUGGGAGCCCAUGUUAUCGUCUGUAGCGUGCUCUUCUUUGGUGACCAAUUAUGAUCUCAACUUAUAACUAGCAGCACAGAGAUGAUAGUGGCUCAGUGGAUGCUUUGUCGGAUUGUCCGCUAGUGAUUAUGUUUUACUAUACACAUCUCUCUAUAGAAAAAUACUGUUAAAAAGAACAUACAAAAUGCAAAAUCAAUCAGCCCUUCCCCGACAGUUUUUUCUUCAAAGUUCAAAUACAAAUUCACCAGCGGUUGAGUUGCUAGAAGCUAUUUCUUUCUUGAAAUGUCAAACUUACUUGCUUUUUCUUGUCUCUGAUUGAAGAAACAACUUGAAUACAUCAGGACCUGUUGUGGAUAGGAUCUGAUCCUCUCCUUACUCUUCUUUUGCUUGAUUGGUUUGGAUCGUUUGCCUUGUUUAAAUAUGCUGACUUCUUCUGCAUCUCUGUAUUCAUACUCUGCAUACUGACAUCCUCAAGAAUACGUUGACUGGAUGAUACUGUCCGCCCUGGAUCAGUUUUGCGGUCUCUGGUGGCCAGUUCUAUACUUGUCAAGCCAUAAGCUUGGUUUGAUUGAGCUGCUAGGAACCCAAUACAUAUAAAAACAAUUAGCACCCUAUGAGCACUGACAACCAUUGUCUCUGCUCUGAAAUAAGCAAGAAAGAAGACAAGUAUCUUCUUCUUCUUUUAUUUUAGAGUAAUAAGAGAAUAAGCAGAGAUAAGAUUGUGAUCCUAGUAUUCUUAUGUUCCAUUCCUGUAGAUAGAAGGCUGUUAUUUAUCCCUUAUUGGAUUUGGAGAAGCUUUAAAGCAGAAAAAAAGGCAAGGAGGGCCCCAAAACACCCAGAAAGAAUUUUAGAUUCACCAAAAUUACAAGCCCUGCAUUCUAUAAGCAUAUUAAGGCUGUUGUGGAUGAAUAAAGGGGUAGGAACAAUAUCCUUGAGAAGCCAAGUAUCUUUUUUCAUUUGUUCCCCUACAAUCUCCAUCAUUUGUAUUUGCUUUUGUCUUUUGAAACAACAGGACUACCAGUCUCUCAGACUCUUAGCUGUGAUGCCACAUCAGCCGACUGUGUGCGCUUACGUGGAUAUUCCCUGGGGAUUAAUCAGCCAAUGGCCUGUCCUGUUUGAGCAGCUCAGCUGACAUGGAUACCAUGAGUUUCUAGUUACGGGUCCUACUUUGUGCUUUCAAAGAAUAACAGGAUUGUUGCUGGCGGUUAAUGUUCUAGAAUAACACUCACUUACAAUAUGCGAAUGCCCCACCUAUACAGAUAUCAAG
rnacentral:lncRNA from 1 species